rnacentral:sRNA from 1 species
GGAAGGCGGGGGACCCGGGACUUCCAAGUGUUCUGGCCAUGGAGGCAUGAUAUCCGUAACAUCCCCCAAAGGAGCUAAAGAAGAAAUCCACAAUUUACCAUGAGCAUUUCUCGUCUAAUGAUUGCCAAGCGAUUCCUCCAGGACAUUCCUCAAGAUCAAUUUCUGUUCAUCCACCUUGUCCUGGGAGGGACAUCAAUGGGUUUCCAUGUCCUUUGGCUUCUGGUUGAGUUCACUCAGUGGAGAACCCUGGCAAGAGGCAGGAAAAGGGGAGGAAGGCUUUAUGAUACAUGUGUUGAAUGUGCAGGUUCGUUACAUAGGUAAAUGUGUGGCAUGGUGAUUUGCUGCACCUAUCAACCCAUCACCUAGGUAUUAAGCCCUGCAUGCAUUAGCUAUUAGUCCUGAUGCUCUCCCUCCCACUGCACCCCCUGGCAGGUCCCUGAUGUAUGUUGUUCCACUCCCUGUGUCCAUGUAUUCUCAUUGUUCAACUCCCACUUAUGAGUGAGAACAUGCAGUGUUUGAUUUUCUGUUCCUGUGUCAGUUUACUGAGGAUACUGGCUUCCAGCGUCAUCCACGUCUUGGUAUAGGACAUCAUCUCAUUUUAUGGCUGCAUAGUAUUCCAUGGUGUAUAUGUAUCACAUUUUCUUUAUCCAGUCUACCAUUGUGGGCAUUUGGGUUCAUUCCAAGUCUUUAAUAAGGGUGUGGUCUUACCUGAUUUAUGUUAGAAGGAAACCAUUUGUUUGGAAUGAAUAGAGUAAAUCUUUUGGGAAAAUAGAAAAAAGAUUAUUUAAAAAUCAUGUGAAUAUUUAGAUCUAAGAGUUGUCCAUGAAUCCUUAGCUCAGUGUCCAUAGAUCCCUACAAACAAGAUCUAUGAAUAGAAUUCUUGGAAUCCUUAAGUUAGGAUAGGAAAAAAUUACAUCUUUAUUUUUUCUAACCUCUAUUUGAAAUGUAGUAUUUCUUUCCAUCACAAGUGUAUGUGACAAGACACAAUAGUGUUGGUCAUUACUAAGGCUUUAUCACCGACAAAAAUCAUAGGUAUUUUUAUAUCACACUGCAGUGUUGUAAAAAUCUCAAGAUAUCAUCUAUACUCUUCACUGCUUCAAAAUUAUGGUAGUUGGUAGACCCACCUUCAGGUCUUGUUAUUGGAGGCAUUAAUAAGGAAGUGUAUAUGUUAUGUUUCACAAUUUUAUUUUCUAAAUACUUUCAGAUUGCAACUGCAUUUCCAUAUAAUUUAUUUUAUAAUUCGGUGUGUUUCAAGUUAUGCAUUUACACAUGUAAUUCUAAAAAGAAGUCCAUAGACUUCACCAAAUUUCCAAAAGAGUUCACAGUAAACAAAUUAUUAAAAAUCUCUGUUAAUUCAUAGAUACUCAUUCCAGAAAAUACAGCAAUGGCUGCAUAUCAGGAAUAUCUUUUUCCAGAAAAAAAAAAUAUCCUAAGUUACUAGAUAUUCUGGGUAGUUUCUGUAUGUGGAGUUUCUGGGGUAAAUCCUUUGAGUUCAAUAUGUUGACUAUGUGCUAUGUCAUCUCAAAUAUUUGACCUUAUUCUGUUUUUCUUCUUUCAUUGUACGUUUUGUAACUAGAUUUCCUAUUUGGUAUUUGUCUCCCAAAUUUUAAGAGCAAAACUUGUCAUCUAUCGCCUUAUUUUAAUUCUCACUAUGUAAACUUGUAAGAAAUAACUCACAACUUGGUGUCUCAUAACUCACUUCUGAAAUAUCCAAUGAAAAAACUGCCAAAUUA